CGGGUUGUAAACCUCUUUUGGCAGGGAAGAAGCGAAAGUGACGGUACCUGCAGAAAAAGCACGGGCUAACUACGUGCCAGCAGCCGCGGUAAUACGUAGGGUGCGAGCGUUGUCCGGAAUUAUUGGGCGUAAAGAGCUCGUAGGCGGUUCGUCGCGUCUGCUGUGAAAUCCCGAGGCUCAACCUCGGGCCUGCAGUGGGUACGGGCGAACUAGAGUGCAGUAGGGGAGACUGGAAUUCCUGGUGUAGCGGUGGAAUGCGCAGAUAUCAGGAGGAACACCGAUGGCGAAGGCAGGUCUCUGGGCUGUAACUGACGCUGAGGAGCGAAAGCGUGGGGAGCGAACAGGAUUAGAUACCCUGGUAGUCCACGCCGUAAACGUUGGGCGCUAGAUGUGGGGACCAUUCCACGGUUUCCGUGUCGCAGCUAACGCAUUAAGCGCCCCGCCUGGGGAGUACGGCCGCAAGGCUAAAACUCAAAGGAAUUGACGGGGGCCCGCACAAGCGGCGGAGCAUGCGGAUUAAUUCGAUGCAACGCGAAGAACCUUACCAAGGCUUGACAUAUACGAGAACGGGCCAGAAAUGGUCAACUCUUUGGACACUCGUAUACAGGUGGUGCAUGGUUGUCGUCAGCUCGUGUCGUGAGAUGUUGGGUUAAGUCCCGCAACGAGCGCAACCCUCGUUCUAUGUUGCCAGCACGUAAUGGUGGGAACUCAUAGGAGACUGCCGGGGUCAACUCGGAGGAAGGUGGGGAUGACGUCAAAUCAUCAUGCCCCUUAUGUCUUGGGCUUCACGCAUGCUACAAUGGCCGGUACAAUGGGCUGCAAUACCGUGAGGUGGAGCGAAUCCCAAAAAGCCGGUCUCAGUUCGGAUUGAGGUCUGCAACUCGACCUCAUGAAGUCGGAGUCGCUAGUAAUCGCGAAUCAGCAACGUCGCGGUGAAUACGUUCCCGGGCCUUGUACACACCGCCCGUCAAGUCAUGAAAGUCGGUAACACCCGAAGCCGGUGGCCCAACCCUUGUGGAGGGAGCCGUCGAAUGA
rnacentral:rRNA from 1 species